rnacentral:rRNA from 1 species
GUGCCAGCAGCCGCGGUAAUACGGUGGGGGUUAGCGUUGUUCGGAAUUACUGGGUGUAAAGCGCGCGUAGGCGGCCAUUUAAGUCUGGGGUGAAAUCCCGGGGCUCAACCCCGGAACUGCCAUUGAUACUGGGUGUCUUGAGUUCGAGAGAGGUGAGUGGAAUUCCGAGUGUAGAGGUGAAAUUCGUAGAUAUUCGGAGGAACACCAGUGGCGAAGGCGGCUCACUGGCUCGAUACUGACGCUGAGGUGCGAAAGUGUGGGGAGCAAACAGGAUUAGAAACCCUGGUAGUCC